UACGGAGGGUGCGAGCGUUGUCCGGAAUUAUUGGGCGUAAAGAGCUCGUAGGCGGUGUGUCGCGUCGGCCGUGAAAACUUGGGGCUUAACUCUGAGCGUGCGGUCGAUACGGGCAUCACUUGAGUUCGGCAGGGGAGACUGGAAUUCCUGGUGUAGCGGUGAAAUGCGCAGAUAUCAGGAGGAACACCGGUGGCGAAGGCGGGUCUCUGGGCCGAUACUGACGCUGAGGAGCGAAAGCAUGGGGAGCGAACAGG
rnacentral:rRNA from 1 species